GAUGAAGAACGUAGCGAAAUGCGAUAAGUAAUGUGAAUUGCAGAAUUCAGUGAAUCAUCGAAUCUUUGAACGCACAUUGCGCCCGCCAGUAUUCUGGCGGGCAUGCCUGUUCGAGCGUCAUUACAACCCUCAGGCCCCCGGGCCUGGCGUUGGGGAUCGGCGGAAGCCCCCUGCGGGCACAAAGCCGUCCCCCAAAUACAGUGGCGGUCCCGCCGCAGCUUCCAUUGCGUAGUAGCUAACACCUCGCAACUGGAGAGCGGCGCGGCCACGCCGUAAACACCCAACUUCUGAAUGUUGACCUCGAAUCAGGUAGGAAUACCCGCUGAACUUAAGCAUAUCAAUAAGCGGAGGA
rnacentral:misc_RNA from 1 species